AUCAGUCCCUCUCAGGCGCCGGAGCAGACGCCGUGUUUACACGGGCGGCCGCUCCGGCAUCUGAGAGGACAACAGGAAUGAGCAUGCAGGACCGCAGGCCCGGAAUGCGAAUUCCUGGCAGCGUCGCGGAAGCUUCGGAAGAAGCGAAGAGACGCUGAGACGGAU
rnacentral:sRNA from 1 species